UCUGCCAUUUUAUUCUGGGUCUAACAGCUUUAACUCGAAAAUGAUCUCACAAAGCUAUUAUAAUACCUUUCUUCCACAUCCCCCCAGGAACUGCUUCCACCUCUCUGCAUGUACACAGUGACGGCACCCAAGAAAAUGGCUGGUGAUGGAUUGAACCCACCUAGGAUGUCCAUGCCCUGCCACAGUCAGAGGAGCUGCACACUCUUGAUGUUGGAUUUGAGCCAUGCUUUAAACUUAACAGCCUGCAUAUCACUGCAAAAGAGGCCAAAGAUCCCCCUG
rnacentral:lncRNA from 1 species